rnacentral:lncRNA from 1 species
UUUAUCAAAGUUGGAGUCAUUCUCAUGGAUGAUGUCUUGGUUCAUGUAUUCAUACUUGUGAAUGAAUGGUUGAGUGUUCUCCAAGGAAUGACUUAAAUAAUGGAAUUCUUCACUAACAUUUGACUAACCUUUUAUUAACAUUACUUUACUUUCAAGUCAUUUACUUAAUGCAAUUUAAAUUUCAGUACUUUUAUCAUUCAUUUCCAUUUACAUUUCAUGCAACUUGUUUAUGUUUCAGUCCUUUUCACUUUGCUCACUUGAGCCAU